rnacentral:lncRNA from 1 species
CCUAGCAGGCAUGCCAAAUAUUAAUUUUUUCAUUUAAAUUUUAUUUUUAAAAAUAUUUUUCCAUGUUUACAUGACUCAUUUUAGGAUAACAAUAUUUUAAAGGAAAAAGAACUUUGGAAAACUUUAAGGACUUUGAUGGAUGGAAUUACCAACAAUAUUAUUGGAUCUACACUAAAAUAUUAUACCAAUUUGUUGAUAGAUGAUGGACACAAGUUACAGAGGCAUGCAUUUUUAGAGGUGACUACUGUGUAUUAGCUUUGCUUAACUUGUGUGAAUUUUAGAUUUUUCUCCACCCUGCUUAGUCUUAGAAAUUUAGCAACCAAGGAAUGUAUACAACCCCACUUAAGGAUUAACUGUGAGUAGGAUGGCCUAUGACCAACAUGUGCUAGCAAGUGACAAAUAAGAAGCAACUAACAGACCCUCUAGGCUGUCCUAAAUCCAGCUUAAGCUACCAUUGGUACAUGUGAGACAUAGGAAGUGAUAUAAAGAACUGUCUAUAUAUUCGCAUGACUUUCUCUCUUGGGGUGCUCUUGCAGAGACAUUGGGCUUUUGCUGAGUUGGGAGCUCGUGCCACAUGCUUGACAUCUCGGCAGUUUGGCAUUUGCAGCUUGCCAGUGAGGUGACUGGGAGAAGCUCUUAGCAUGCUUGGUGAAGCCCAGACUUAUCGAACCAAAUAAACAGAAGGCAACAGACUGGAAACUAAAAUGAAUUCUGAGAUUUCUGAAGUGAGCAGAGUGCUGAGACAUCAUCCGAACUAAUGCUGCUCCUUCAUCAGUGCCUCCCAUGGUAUCUCCAUGGUCAUAUUACACUUAAGAAGUAUUUUUCACUUCAUAAUUCACUGUCGAUUAAUGGGACAUUGGAAGAACAAUUUCUUUGCUCAUGAUUACUGUAGGUAACAUUUGAAUCAAUCUUCAUUUUGUGGCAGAGUGGAUCC